rnacentral:tRNA from 2 species
GUAGUCGUGGCCGAGUAGUUAAGGUGAUAGACUAGAAAUCCAUUGGGGUCUCCCCGCGCAGGUUCGAAUACUGCCGACUAUG